rnacentral:ribozyme from 13 species
AAUACACAUAUAUCCACAAAUAUAAAAAGAAAUUUAGAAAGGAAAAAAAAAAAAGCGAAAACUCGGAUACACAUAUCGCUUAGAGAGAUUCAUUGUUUUUAUUGAUUUUCUCUCUCUCAUCUGCCUUAAUGAUACAUUUUUGUUGGCUUUCUUCUUUCUUUGUUGGCCUCAUAUGUGUGUUC